rnacentral:rRNA from 1 species
UUCGCCCUUAGAGUUUUAUCCUGGCUCAGGACGAACGCUGGCGGCGCGCCUAACACAUGCAAGUCGAACGAGCGGAGACCCUUCGGGGUUGAAGUUAGUGGCGGACGGGUGAGUAACACGUGAGGAACCUGCCUUACAGAGAGGGAUACCGUUUGGAAACGAACGUUAAUACCGCAUAAUGUAUUGAAAUCGCAUGGUUUUGAUACCAAAGAUUUAUCGCUGUAAGAUGGCCUCGCGUCUGAUUAGAUAGUUGGUGAGGUAACGGCCCACCAAGUCGACGAUCAGUAGCCGGACUGAGAGGUUGAUCGGCCACAUUGGGACUGAGACACGGCCCAGACUCCUACGGGAGGCAGCAGUGGGGGAUAUUGCACAAUGGGCGAAAGCCUGAUGCAGCGACGCCGCGUGAGGGAAGACGGUUUUCGGAUUGUAAACUCCUGUUGUUGAGGAAGAUAAUGACGGUACUCAACAAGGAAGUGACGGCUAACUACGUGCCAGCAGCCGCGGUAAAACGUAGGUCACAAGCGUUGUCCGGAAUUACUGGGUGUAAAGGGAGCGCAGGCGGGAAGACAAGUUGGAAGUGAAAUCCAUGGGCUCAACCCAUGAACUGCUUUCAAAACUGUUUUUCUUGAGUAGUGCAGAGGUAGGCGGAAUUCCCGGUGUAGCGGUGGAAUGCGUAGAUAUCGGGAGGAACACCAGUGGCGAAGGCGGCCUACUGGGCACCAACUGACGCUGAGGCUCGAAAGUGUGGGUAGCAAACAGGAUUAGAUACCCUGGUAGUCCACACUGUAAACGAUGAUUACUAGGUGUUGGAGGAUUGACCCCUUCAGUGCCGCAGUUAACACAAUAAGUAAUCCACCUGGGGAGUACGACCGCAAGGUUGAAACUCAAAGGAAUUGACGGGGGCCCGCACAAGCAGUGGAGUAUGUGGUUUAAUUCGACGCAACGCGAUGAACCUUACCAAGUCUUGACAUCCAUCGACGACUAUAGAAAUAUAGUUUUCCUUCGGGACGGUGAGACAGGUGGUGCAUGGUUGUCGUCAGCUCGUGUCGUGAGAUGUUGGGUUAAGUCCCGCAACGAGCGCAACCCUUAUGGUCAGUUACUACGCAAGAGGACUCUGGCCAGACUGCCGUUGACAAAACGGAGGAAGGUGGGGAUGACGUCAAAUCAUCAUGCCCUUUAUGACUUGGGCUACACACGUACUACAAUGGCGUUAAACAAAGAGAAGCAAGACCGCGAGGUGGAGCAAAACUCAGAAACAACGUCCCAGUUCGGACUGCAGGCUGCAACUCGCCUGCACGAAGUUGGAAUUGCUAGUAAUCGCAGAUCAGCAUGCUGCGGUGAAUACGUUCCCGGGCCUUGCACUCACCGCCCGUCA